rnacentral:tRNA from 1 species
UGGAAUGUAGCUUAGCGGUAGAGUACUUGCUUAACAUGUGCAAGUCCCUGGGUUCAAUCCCCAGCAUUACAA